rnacentral:lncRNA from 10 species
GUUCUGGAAAAAAAACAUACUCACAGAAUAAUGAAAAAAAAUUUCAACUAAUGAGAACCAGGAACAAUGACCACUGGAAAUAAUGAAAACAGUUGGAUCAAACAGCUACAAGUAAAGCACUUGGAAUGGUAGAGUGCUUCCCUCAAUGGAUGGAAGGAGACUGGAUCCCUCUGACACUGACUGGAAGAGCUCUGCUAAGCAAAGCUGCGAGCUCAUGAAAGACUGUGAGGAGAGUAAGAGGUAACCUUUUAUUGUGUUAAGUCAUUAAUGUCAGGGUUUACUUGUUACUACAGCAUGGCUUCCUCUAACACCUCCUCUUAUCAACUGCCUUUUCUGAGUCUUUCCUUGACUCAUGAUUUUGAGUUAACUUAGUAAACUUACCAAAGGCUGACUUUGCACCAAGAAUCAUUAUAGGUACUGGAAAAUUUAAAAGAUGAAGGAGGUGGAGUCAUUUUUUCCUAAGGAGCUGGGAGAGGAGAUAAGAAAUGGGAUCAAAUAAUGAACAACAAGUUUCAAAGGGAUCAGAGUCCAAUAAAACCUGCCGCCUGAGCUCUUAAGAGAGAAAUGGAAAUCGUAGUUGUGAACAUCAGGCUUUCUAGAAGUGGCUGUACCAACAUCAGCCUUGAAAGAGCUCAAUCCAGCAGAUCCUGUCCCACUUGGAACCUGGCUAUGAGUGAGAAAACAUCUGUGGUUGGAAAAUGGGGCUGGUGAUUCAGGCCUGUUUGGGAAGAAGAUGCUCUUGAAUGCUUUGCUCAACAAACACCUCCCUUCUGCAAGGAGGCAACCUGUGAUGCCCCACUCCCAGGAAGUCACUGUAUUGAUGCUGAACUUAGUGUGGGCACUUCAUGGGCACAGCACACUACAGCCCAGAACUCCUGGGCUCAAGUGAUCCUUCCACCACAGCUUUUCCAGCAGCUGGGACUACAGGUACAUGCCAUUGUGCUCAGCUACUGUGUACUUCCUAUGUCCUCAAAUCCUGCUACUCAAAACAUAAUUCCUAAGCCAGAAGCAUCAGCAUCACUGAGAGCUUAUUAGAAAUGCUGAUUCUCAGGCCUAACCUCGGACCAACUGAACCAGAGAAUCUGCAUUUUAACAAGAUCCCUGGGUGAUUCACAGCAUAUAUGAAAGAUUGAAAAUUGCUAUCCUUGAUGCUUUUCUUUUUUUUUUUUUUUUUUUGAGAUGGAGUCUCACUCUGUCACCAAGGCUAGAGUGCAAUGGCAUGAUCUUGGCUCACUGCAACCUCCGCCUCCCGGUUCAAAUGAUUCUCCUGUCUCAGCCUCCCAAGUAGCUGGGAUUACAGGCACGUGCCACCAUGCCCAGCUAAUUUUUGUAUUUUUAGUAGAGAUGGGGUUUCACCAUGUUGGCCAGGCUGGUCUUGAACUCCCGACCUCAGGUGAUUCACCUGCCUCGGCCUCCCAAAGUGCUGGGAUUACAGGUGUGAACCACCACACCUGGCCUCCUUGAUGCUUUUCUAUCUUGGUGAAAUACUUAUUGGGAGGACUCCCAGUACUGCUACCUUCCUUAUUGUGAGUAGAAAAAAACUGAAAAAGUCAAAGUGUUUUUUCAAUUCUCUCACUCAACAAUAAUCACCACUGAAGACUCCUGUGACCAACUCUGUGGGGAUUUCUCCUCACCAACAAGCAGUCAGUUCUGUAGCAGACACCAGCUGGGUACCCUCCAAUCCAAUUCAAUUCUGAUGUUACCUACCUGGAGGUAGCGUCAGAUGCCACAGGUUGAGGGCUCAGUCCCACGUGACUGCCCCUAACUUAUGAUACCAGUCAAAAGCCCCAGGUUGUUUUAUUUGUGCUUCUGACUGACCGUCUAUAAGUCAGGGAUCCCCUGAACCCCUUUUUGUGUGUGAUUAAUUUACUGGAGCAGAGCUUACAGAACUCAAGGAAACACUUAACAUUUACUGGUUUAUUAUUGUAUUAGUUCGUUUUCAUGCUGCUAAUAAAGACAUACCUGAG